AGAAUUCUACAGUCCGAAGAUCCAUCUAGGACUUCCGUAGUUAGGAGAGGACAGUGCUUGGCUUCAGAGCAUCAGCAGACAGGCUGACUCUUGUUAGGGGAUAAGGCACCUGUUGGCUUUAAGCUGAAGCCAGUGCUCAUUGACCAUUUGGGAAAUCCUAGGGCCGUUCAGAAUUAGGCGAAAUCUACUCUGCCUGUGCUUGAUAAAUGAAAUAAAAAGCCUGAAUGACAGCACACCUGUUUACAAACAUGGUUAACUGACUAUUUGAAGCCCACUGUUGAGAGAACUACUGCUCAGAAAAAAAUAUUCCUUUCAAAACAGUGCUGCUCAUUGACAAUAACCUAGUCGACCAAGAGCUCUAACAGGGAUGUGCAGUGAGG